AGGUUUUAGUUGUUUGCUUGUAAGGCAAGAUAGUCCCUGGAGAAGAACUAAAAUACGUCAACAGCCUUGUCAGCGGAAAGACACUCCGUUGCAGUUACUGAAGGUUUUAGUUGUUUGCUUGUAAGGCAAGAUAGUCCCUGGAGAAGAACUAAAAUACGUCAACAGCCUUGUCAGCGGAAAGACACUCCGUUGCAGUUACUGAAGGUUUUAGUUGUUUGCUUGUAAGGCAAGAUAGUCCCUGGAGAAGAACUAAAAUACGUCAACAGCCUUGUCAGCGGAAAGACACUCCGUUGCAGUUACUGAAGGUUUUAGUUGUUUGCUUGUAAGGCAAGAUAGUCCCUGGAGAAGAACUAAAAUACGUCAACAGCCUUGUCAGCGGAAAGACACUCCGUUGCAGUUACUGAAGGUAAAACGACAUCUUCAGUGGGCUAGGUAAAUGUUGGCAUGUUUGUCGGAAUGUGUUUCCUGGUCUAUACCGAAAUGUCCUGCGUGCUUUGUUUAAUCUAUAACUGCGCCAUAACUUACUUUUCGCCAUUGUGCGCAAUUCAACUGAUGAUAUUUAUAAGCAAAUAAAAAGUUAUUGUGAAGAAGUGACUCUUGCAAGUGCCUCACAUUGUUGUAUGCCUUUUAACAAUGAUCUGAGCUUACUAGAAGUUUUACUUUUUCUGUUUCCAAGAAAUAUGGAUUAAUAUUUAUCUCAGAUGUCAAUUUUUAGGCAAUCAUUAGUGUCAUAUCAGGUGUAUUUCCUCAAUAUGUCAGCCCCAAUUAUUUAUGCUAUGAUUGGGUUAUCUC